rnacentral:rRNA from 1 species
AUAAGCACCGGAAACGGUGUCUAAUACCCGAUACGACCGAUCCCUGCAUGGGGUGUUGGUGGAAAGUUUUUUCGGUGGGGGAUGUGCUCGCGGCCUAUCAGCUUGUUGGUGGGGUAAUGGCCUACCAAGGCUUCGACGGGUAGCCGGCCUGAGAGGGUGACCGGCCACACUGGGACUGAGACACGGCCCAGACUCCUACGGGAGGCAGCAGUGGGGAAUAUUGGACAAUGGGCGGAAGCCUGAUCCAGCAACGCCGCGUGAGGGAUGACGGCCUUCGGGUUGUAAACCUCUUUCAGUACUGACGAAGCGCCCUUGGGGUGGUGACGGUAGGUGCAGAAGAAGGACCGGCCAACUACGUGCCAGCAGCCGCGGUAAUACGUAGGGUCCGAGCGUUGUCCGGAAUUAUUGGGCGUAAAGGGCUCGUAGGCGGUUUGUCGCGUCGGGAGUGAAAACCCAGGGCUUAACUCUGGGCUGGCUUUCGAUACGGGCAGACUAGAGGUAUUCAGGGGAGAACGGAAUUCCUGGUGUAGCGGUGAAAUGCGCAGAUAUCAGGAGGAACACCGGUGGCGAAGGCGGUUCUCUGGGAAUAU